rnacentral:rRNA from 1 species
UACGUAGGGGCCUAGCGUUGUCCGGAAUUAUUGGGCGUAAAGAGCUCGUAGGCGGUUCGGCAAGUCGGAUGUGAAAUCUCCACGCUUAACGUGGAGGGGCCAUUCGAAACUGCUGUGACUCGAGUCCGGUAGGGGAGUGUGGAAUUCCCGGUGUAGCGGUGAAAUGCGCAGAUAUCGGGAGGAACACCAGUAGCGAAGGCGGCACUCUGGGCCGGAACUGACGCUGAGGAGCGAA